ACCUCAAAAUUAACUUAACCAAAGAAGUGAAGGAUCCAUACAAGAAAAGCUAUAAGACACUGGUGAAAGAAACUGAAGAGGACACCAAAAAAUGGAAAGAUAUUGCACGCUCAUGGAUUGG